CAAGCGGUGGAUGAUGUGGUUUAAUUCGAUGCAACGCGAAAACCUUACCACCUUUGACAUGUACGGAAUCCUUUAGAGAUAGAGGAGUGCUCGAAAGAGAGCCCGUUAACACAGGCGCUGCAUGGCUGUCGUCAGCUCGUGUCGUGAGAUGUUGGGUUAAGUCCCGCAACGAGCGCAACCCUUGUCAUUAGUUGCUACAUUCAGUUGGGCACUCUAAUGAGACUGCCGGUGACAAACCGGAGGAAGGUGGGGAUGACGUCAAGUCCUCAUGGCCCUUAUAGGUGGGGCUACACACGUCAUACAAUGGAUGGUACAAAGGGUCGCCAACCCGCGAGGGGGAGCCAAUCCCAUAAAGCCAUUCGUAGUCCGGAUCGCAGUCUGCAACUCGACUGCGUGAAGUCGGAAUCGCUAGUAAUCGUGGAUCAGAAUGUCACGGUGAAUACGUUCCCGGGUCUU
rnacentral:rRNA from 1 species